rnacentral:rRNA from 1 species
UACGAAGGGGGCUAGCGUUGCUCGGCAUCACUGGGCGUAAAGCGCACGUAGGCGGAUUGUUAAGUCGGGGGUGAAAUCCUGGAGCUCAACUCCAGAACUGCCUUCGAUACUGGCGAUCUCGAGUCCGGGAGAGGUGAGUGGAACUCCGAGUGUAGAGGUGAAAUUCGUAGAUAUUCGGAAGAACACCAGUGGCGAAGGCGGCUCACUGGCCCGGUACUGACGCUGAGGUGCGAAAGCGUGGGGAGCAAACAGG